rnacentral:rRNA from 1 species
GCUUAGCCCUAAACAUAGACAGUAAGCACACAAUACUGUCCGCCAGAGAACUACAAGUGAAAAACUAGAAACUCUAAGGACUUGGCGGUGCUCCAUACCGACCUAGAGGAGCCUGUCCUAUAAUCGAUAACCCACGUUUUACCUCACCCCCUCUCGAAACUCAGCCUAUAUACCGCCGUCGCCAGCUUACCUUAUGAAAGAAUUAAAGUAAGCACAACAGUUAGUAACUAAAACGUCAGGUCAAGGUGUAGCUUAUGAGGCGGAAGAGAUGGGCUACAAUCUCUACAACAGAGCAUACGAACGGCACAAUGAAACCCGUGCCUGAAGGCGGAUUUAACAGUAAGCUAAACAAGAAAUUUCACCUGAAACCCGCUCUGGAG